GGGGAAUAUUGCGCAAUGGGCGAAAGCCUGACGCAGCGACGCCGCGUGAGGGAUGAAGGUUUUCGGAUCGUAAACCUCUGUCAGAAGGGAAGAAACCGCACCGUGCUAAUCAGCGGUGCCUUGACGGUACCUUCAAAGGAAGCACCGGCUAACUCCGUGCCAGCAGCCGCGGUAAUACGGAGGGUGCAAGCGUUAAUCGGAAUUACUGGGCGUAAAGCGCACGUAGGCUGCUUUGUAAGUCAGGGGUGAAAUCCCACGGCUCAACCGUGGAACUGCCUUUGAUACUGCUUAGCUUGAAUCCGGGAGAGGGUGGCGGAAUUCCAGGUGUAGGAGUGAAAUCCGUAGAUAUCUGGAGGAACAUCAGUGGCGAAGGCGGCCACCUGGACCGGUAUUGACGCUGAGGUGCGAAAGCGUGGGGAGCAAACA
rnacentral:rRNA from 1 species